rnacentral:lncRNA from 11 species
GCUGCUGCCAGCUGUUCAGAUUUCAAAGUUAAUACACCUGAGUAUUUUGCACUAAAGUAGCUCAGCAUGAAGGAGCAUGCACUCCUGAUUUAGCAAAGAGGAAAGAGGCGGUGGUGGAGUCUUUCCCUUUCUGGCAAGGAAGAGGAAGUGCUGCAGCCAUUCACAGUUUCAACAGACUAUUUGACCCCCUUAGUUUUCUUUGCAGGAGCCCAUACAUCUCAUUGGAAGGUAAUGAAGUCAUGAACUAUUGUG